CUUAAACCUUAUGCAUGUGUCGCAGUGGUGAUGAUGGUGAUGAUGGUGGUGAGGGGGCGGUUACACUAUACACCCAUGGCAGGCAGGGCAGUGGUGGUGUUGAUGGCAGUGGUAGUGGUGGUGGUGGUGGUGAUAGUGGUGGGGGCGGGUCCUGCUAGAGAUGCCAGUGUGGUGUUGAUGGUGGUGGUGAUGGUGUUGAUAGCGAUGGUAAUGGUGUUACAGGUCACGUCAUCACCAGCACUCCCCAGCAUACAAGUGGUGAUGAUGAUGAUGGUGGUGAUGGUGGUGAUGAAAAGUGGUCAUAAUAUGGACGCAUUGGCAUCUCAUCUCAUGUCCGUAGGAGGGAAGAGAGGGGAAGGAGGAGGAGGAGGGGAAGAGGAAGAGGAAGGAGGGGAGGGAGAAGAGUGGAAGUAGGAGGAGUAGAGGAGGGGAUAGGAAGAAGGAUAAGGAAGGGUAGAGAGACGAAGAGGAAGGAGGAGGAGAAGGAAAAGGGGAUAAAGGGGAAGAAGGAAUGGGGAAAAGAAUUGAAGAAGAGGAGGAGGAGGAGGAGGAGGAAAGGAGAUAUGAAUGGUAAGGAAUGAGGGGAGAGGGGACGUCCAGAGAGAGAGAGAGAGAGAGAGAGAGAGAGAGAGAGAGCACCUCCCCUCACCUCCCCGCCCCAUCCCUUCCUCCCCUCCCGCCCCCACCACCACCACUCGCUCGCUCCCUCCCUUCUGCUGCCGCUUCUUCCCUCCCCGGCCUGUCAGUUUACCUGUGACCUUGUUCGCGCUAACACCUCCGCCGCGUCCACGUGUAGCCUCAGGUAGCAGGUGUGCACGCGCGUGUGUAGGAGUAGAACAGUGAAGGAUACGGACGCAAAAACAAUACCCGUGUUAUACCUGGAGCCAAGAACCGUGUGUAUUUUCACCUGUGUGCGUAUAUGUGUUUGUGCGUUCCCAUGUCUAUAGUGCGCGGGCGGCUUAUGAGACGUAUGCACGCCCGCACGCCCACGUCCACGCCUACAUCAUCGUCGCCAUCGUCAGUGUAGCCACAUCAUGCCGAGGGAUGUCUGCUCCUAGGACCUGUUGCCUCGUCUGACUGGAAUACUGAAUUGGCACUACUGGUUCCCUGCCUGCUGAAACUGGCCUCUCCUCCCUCCCCCCCUUCCUCCUCCUCCUCCUCUUCCACCUCCUCCUAGUGCCCCCUCCUCUUACCCUGCCUCCCUCUUCUCCUUCCCUUCCUUGUCCUUGUUCUCUCAUUCUUUCUUCUUGUCCUUGUCCUCCUUUUUUUUCUUCCUCUUUUUCUUCGUUUAGGUUUGUGUCCUCUUUGCCCUCUUUCCUCUUUUUCUUAUUCUUGAUUAUAUACUUACUCUUUUUUUUCCUCCUCUUCCUCCUCCUCCUCCUCCUUAUUGGCUUCUUCCUCCACGUCCUCCCCAUAAUCUCCGUAUUCUUUUUUUCUCCUUUUCUUUCGCAUUCUCGUAAAACCUCUCCAUUAUCCCUUCCUCCUUCUCUUUCCUUCCUCCACUACGUAACCACACUUCCUUACGCCUUCUUCUACCUACCACCUCUUCAUCCACCUCCACCAUCCCCUCUCAAGCCCACCCCAUUCACACCCCUCCUUUCCCAACCCACCUAGGAGGGCCACACGGUUCCCUCAGUGCCAAAAUGUGCCUCGAAUAAGUGCCACUCCGCCUCUUGUGCUUCCCGCCCUUGCACUACUUUGUGGCACCAUGGCGGACGAGGGAAGCGACAAGAAGAAGGAGCAGAAGGAGGAGAAGCAGAAGAAGGAGCAGCAGAAGGAACAGCAACUUGACGAAGUGGAUAAGGAUAAAGAGAGGAGGGAGAGAGAGGAGAAGAGCAGAACGCCGACUUAUGAG